rnacentral:rRNA from 1 species
AUGAACGCUAGCGGCAGGCUUAACACAUGCAAGUCGAGGGGCAUCGGGAGUAGCAAUACUGCCGGCGACCGGCGCAAGGGUGCGUAACGCGUGAGCAACAUGCCCGUAUCAGGGGGGAUAAUCCAUGGAAACGUGGUCUAAUACCCCAUAGUAAUUAUGUAAGGCAUCUUAUAUAAUUUAAAGCUUUGGUGGAUACGGAUUGGCUCGCGUGACAUUAGCUAGAUGGUAAGGUAACGGCUUACCAUGGCUACGAUGUCUAGGGGUUCUGAGAGGAAGGUCCCCCACACUGGAACUGAGACACGGUCCAGACUCCUACGGGAGGCAGCAGUGAGGAAUAUUGGACAAUGGAUGGAAAUCUGAUCCAGCCAUGCCGCGUGCAGGAAGAACCGGCCCUAUGGGUUGUAAACUGCUUUUGUAUGGGAGCAAUAAGGGCUACGCGUAGUCCGAUGAGAGUACCAUACGAAUAAGCACCGGCUAACUCCGUGCCAGCAGCUGC